CUGUUUUGAACUCUGAAAAUAGAUAUUCUAUAAUGCCAUUCUUUGGCCAUGCCGUCUUAGUAAAUAAUGGUGCCUGGCUUUAUUGCAGUGUGAUCUGUUUAGCAUGGAACCAGGAACUUGAAGCUGCAUUUCACCACCAGGCCAAGUACGGUCAAAACAUGAGAGGGGAAACAAGCUCAGAAGAAAAAGGAAAGAGACAGCUGAAAAGGAAAAUUCACCAGCAUCAAUGACUGAUGCAUGGAUGAAGCCCAGCACGGGCAGCUUUCCUGACGAUGCUGUAGUCGAAGCUACAGGGACACCUCCACCAGAACCGCCAAAGAACCAGGAAUCUGCUUUGAGACCUUUAACAACGCUAACACAAAACAGCACAAGCAGGAGCGCCGGCAGCUUUUCUGCCGCCCUAGGCAGCGGAAGGUCCAGCCCCGAAAUGCCGCC